UACGUAGGGCGCAAGCGUUAUCCGGAAUUAUUGGGCGUAAAGAGCUCGUAGGCGGUUUGUCGCGUCGGCCGUGAAAUCUCCACGCUUAACGUGGAGCGUGCGGUCGAUACGGGCAGACUUGAGUUCGGUAGGGGAGACUGGAAUUCCUGGUGUAGCGGUGAAAUGCGCAGAUAUCAGGAGGAACACCGGUGGCGAAGGCGGGUCUCUGGGCCGAUACUGACGCUGAGGAGCGAAAGCGUGGGGAGCGAACAGG
rnacentral:rRNA from 1 species